AAUCAACGCUGGCGGCGUGCCUAACACAUGCAAGUCGAACGAGAAAGGGUAGCAAUACCUGAGUAAAGUGGCGCACGGGUGAGUAACACGUGACUAACCUACCCUUGAGUGGGGAAUAACUUCGGGAAACCGAGGCUAAUACCGCAUAACACCUACGGGUCAAAGGAGCAAUUCGCUCGAGGAGGGGGUCGCGGCCGAUUAGUUAGUUGGCAGGGUAAUGGCCUACCAAGACGAUGAUCGGUAUCCGGCCUGAGAGGGCGCACGGACACACUGGAAC
rnacentral:rRNA from 1 species